UGUCAUUCAAUACACACUCUCUCUUGGUUUUCUUAUCCAGGGUGUCAGACACACACAUCGACACGCACACACAAAUAAUACACACAUAUUGUAUAGACAGUCCCACUCACAGAAGAAUGGGGUAGUCCCAGUGCACUAGGUAAAGCUGCUAGACGCAACACUUCCAUUAGUGUUUCUGUAGGAACGACUGUAUAGAUAUAUUUAUUUCAGGUCUACUUUAUACUGCGUAUGGUUAAAGUUAUUGUAAAUGGCAGAAGCAAAUUUUUAAAAUUUGGUUCAGUAAUUCAUUUGAAUUACUUUGAGUGUGCAAUGUUCAUGUAUGCAAAUUAAAACUGUGAAGAACACUUUAGCUUUUGUUUCAAUACUUUGGUAAUACUUGGAAGUAUAAAGCUUGGCAUCAGAGCUAAUAUUUAAUAUUUUCCUUUGAAUCUUGACUGUCACCCUCAAAAUACUUACAUUAAAGUCAUUGGGUCCAUGACAGUUAAAGGGUUUUAAGAUAAGGAAAUUUAAAUAUUUUACAGUUUUUCUCAGUUUGGGUACAUUUCUCAGAACAGAAUUUAAAUUCUUAAAACUACUUGUUCAAUCUUCAAAUUAUUGUGUCACUUCUGCACAUCAAUAAAGGAGUUUCUCAUUCUUUUGAGCAAGUUGCAAACGCUUUUGUAGAUCAUGCAACUUAUUAUGUGCACUUCUCUGCUUUUGCCCCCAUUUUAAUUUGCUUUAAUCAUGUUGAUCAAAAUGUGUUAAACGUGUCUCUGUUGAAUUGUCUCAACUUCCAAAACAGCACAAGUUCAUUGUGUAAGUCUUAACAUGCAUAAGUCUUGAAGUUGUCAUAAUGUCAAUCAUAUUUUAAUUUAUUUAUAUUAGAUAUUUUUCUAAAUUUGUCUUGAAUUGUUAAAUUGCUCCCAAGUGAGUCCUGAGUUUCUCUAACAGGUCAAUGUAUGAACCAUUAGCUCAACCAACGAUCAACCGAUUUUCAGAAACAGAUUGAAGGUGCAUCUUAUGAGUCAUCAGUUGAUGGUGAUAUACACACCAAAUAAGGGCUGUUCACCUUUUAAAUGAUCAACCUUUUGUUUUUGAAUUUUUGGGGAUUUUUUUCUGUUUGACUUUCUGCAUUGAGUUUAUCUUGUGUCAUCUAUCCUGAAUUACUGGUCAAAAAGUAAAAAAUUGUAAAGAGAAACAUGUUUCUCCCAAAAGGAAGGAUGAAGAUAGAAAAUUCCCUGAAACAACAGGUCUUCAUCUGAGGUUUUUUUGUUUGUGUUUUUUGUCUGGUUGCAGAGAGGAUUAAACCUGUCGACAACAAACAAAGGUUUAAGAACUUCUGAAUUUUCAGUCAGAAAUGAUCACACCGCCUGGUUGAAGUACCAGUCUCCAUGUGCAAGUCAACAAAGCAGAGAGGAAACACCUGAUUGACAAGGUAUGAGUCAAGCUCAACCUGUGACUGGGAAAACCAUAUCCAUGAUGCACACCAUCCUGAGCAAAGUCUGAACUCAAUGACUUGUUGCUCUCAACCUAGAGCGAGAAUCCUUUUAUCACCGGUUACCCCUUAUAUGGACACAUGCUGUUUUUUUUCAGAUCUUAGUAAUACCAUGAGGAAACUGGACAGGAAACAGAAUUGGUUCUUUUUUUAACAGAAUUUUUAAAUAGAAAUUGUUUCUUUAAGUGGAUUACUCGUAAUCUGUAUUUUUGUUUAAUUUGGACUUAUUUUCUUUAUAACUUUCCAUAUUGAAAUGCAGACAAAUUACACUUCUUUGUGAGUUGUACUGUAAUUUUUAUGGUAAAAUUCUGGUAACAACAGCUACCGGUAAUUUAUCAUAAAGUUUUUAUUUUCAAAUUUUUUACAAUAAAAUGUCAAUAUAUCAUACAGUCCUGCCGUGUUUUUCACUUACGUAGACUAAUCUUUAUGGUAUAUGUGUUUUUAUAGUAAGUUGCAUAGAAAAGUUUAAGUUCUGAACUGCUAAGUCACGGUUGCCAAGAUAUUAUGCCUCAUGCAGUAUGACCGUAUUUACUAUGG